rnacentral:rRNA from 1 species
UGGGGAAUUUUGCACAAUGGGGGAAACCCUGAUGCAGCGACGCCGCGUGAUUUAGAAGGCCUUCGGGUUGUAAAAAUCUUUUCUAUGGGAAGAAAAUGACAGUACCAUAGGAAUAAGGACCGGCUAAUUACGUGCCAGCAGCCGCGGUAAUACGUAAGGUCCGAGCGUUGUCCGGAAUCAUUGGGCGUAAAGGGUACGUAGGCGGGUAAGCAAGUUAGAAGUGAAAUCCUAUAGCUUAACUAUAGUAAGCUUUUAAAACUGCUCAUCUUGAGGUAUGGAAGGGAAAGUGGAAUUCCUAGUGUAGCGGUGAAAUGCGCAGAUAUUAGGAGGAAUACCGGUGGCGAAGGCGACCUUCUGGCCAUAACCUGACGCUGAGAUACGAAAGCGUGGGUAGCAAACAAG